UGGAGCUAGUCGGGGUGCGAUGCGGAGCGAGCGACUAGCGGAGGGAACCCGCUCCUCUCCCCAGGGUUGCAAGGACAGAAGCCGGCGAUGCACAGAGGGAGUUCUCGCGGUCUUGCCCAACCGUUUCUCAUAGGCAAGAGAGAAACAGAUGCCUGCAAGAAAAUAAUAUACCCACCAGUUAAGUAAGCUGCUUCAUCUGUCAUUUUUAUGAAAGGAUGUCAUGGUUGGACUGAGCAAAAUUGCCUACAAAAACAUUUUGGAAAAAAAAUCAGAGUUCCCAGGAAAUGAAAGCAGCUGAGGGACUACGUGAAUAAUAGCAAAAUAUGAAAGGCACUGGCAGCUUUUGAAUUGGCACCCCAUUUCAGGCCUCCCGGCCCUGGGAAACAAAUUGGAUGAUGAUUACACCCAGAGAUUCAGAUAUUCCCCUACCUGGUAGUUCUCCAGUAGAUCUCAUUGACCUAACUUUAUGAAGAACCAUCAGCCAAAUCAGACUCAAAUAUCAUCUGAGUGGAAGAAUAACCUAUGGUAGAACCUUAGGAGAACCAAAGUUUUCCGGGUGGCCCCACAAGCUUUAACACCAUGAUCUACUAGUCCUGUUGGGUUGGCACACAUCAUAUCUAUAACUGGAAGGAGCUAGAAAGCCUAUCUAGUUCAACUCCUUCAUUUUACUGAUGAGGAAACUGAAACCCCAUGAAGUUAUGUGAUUUGCCCAAGGUGAUACAGGUUUCAAACAUCAAAGGUGGGAUUUGAACCCAGAUCUUCUAACUCCCAGAAACUGAACUUCUUUCCAUUGUCACACAUCAUUUGCUGAUCAGGGUAUUUACCUCAAUAUCUAUUCACACACUUGGUCAUUAUGGAGAAAAUAUCUUAAUAAAAUCAUGCUGAAGUGUGAGAGUAAACAAAAGGGUAAUGAAUAAGAAUUGUCAGUGAAUUACUGACAGUGAGUACUGAUCUUGAAGUACUCUCACUCCAAGUUUCUUCUUCUGGGGUUUUGUUCCACUUUUUAAAAAAGUUUAUUUUAAAAAUUUUGAGGUUCAAAUUCUCCCCCUUCCUCUAGUCAUUCUCCCACCCACUGAAGCAAGAAAUAUGACCAUUAUACAUGUGAAGUCAUGCAAAAAUUUUUUUCCUUAUCACACAUGCUGUCCCCCAAAGUGAGAAGAAUAAAAUGAAAAAAUAUGCCUUUAUCUGUAUUCAGAGUUCUUAAGUUCUCUCUCUGGAAUUUUUUAUCAUGAAAGUUCAGUUUUAAGCUUUACUAGUUUGCAUAUAAUAUAUUAAAUAACAAAUAUGUGUGCAAUCAUGCAUAUGCAUCUUGGUGGGUACUACAGAUUGGCAGAAAGUUGGAUCUUGAUUUAAAUACUAAGAGGGUAUUGUGUUGGAUUGCUUUCAGGAAGUUGCAUGACACCUUCAAUGGCUCACAAUUACUCAUUGCUUCCAAAGCCAAUUUUAUAAACUACAGUUUCCCGGUGAUACUAUAACUCUGCAAUUCCACAUUCUUAAAAGAAUAGAAAGUCCAGAUGGUCCAAAGGGCAGCAAAAAUAUAGGGAGUAGGUUUUUCCACAUUAUACAUGAUGGCUUGUAUAUGGGAAGUGACAUGCAACCAUGUAUCAUCUGAAGAUACAAUUUUCUCAUUUAACAAGUUCAAGGGAUAACAGAUGGACAAUGUAGGUGCUAUACUGGAGUGCAUCACAUAUUAAAAGAGUAAGGGAAAGGCCUCCCAUGGAAUAGGUGGCUCUUACAUGGAUGACUUACAAAUAGAAAUGAGCAAGAAUCUUGUUAAAGAAGAAGACAUAAAGGAGCUGUGAACUCUUCUAGUGAAGAAAUAUUCAUAUUAAUCAAAUCCAUUGAGUUUCCAAGUAUGCAUGAAUUUUAUAAAGACAUAUACCUGUCAUUGCAGAAAACAGAGGGUUGUUUUUUCCUCACCAAUCCGUACAAGGCAUUGUCUUCAACACAGUUUGCUAACUAAAAUUAAUUGAAUCAAAAAUAUUUCCCAACAAACGACUUCAUAUUUUAUCCAAAAACUGUUCUGCUUGGCUCAAUUCAACUUGAGAACAUUUUUUGGGGAAAAUGAUCCCAUUGUGAAAACUCAAGGAAACCAACAUCAAUGAAAGCAACUUUUAUUUGCUAAGCAAAUUGAUAAAUAGUAUUGUUUGGUAUUUUAUUCAAAAUUACUUUGCCACAAAUUUAGUGAUUCAGUUAGAAAUAUUUGAUAUAGAAUCAGGAUAGAUACAACUUUGAACCCUGGUAGGACCAUGUGACCAUGAUCAAAUGACUUAUGGACCUCAGUUUCCGCAUCUGUAAAAGCAUAAUUAUAAUUUAUCUGCUUUAUAAGGAUGUCAUGAGGAAAACACUAGGUAAUGUUGAAAACAUUAUGUAGAAAUGUGAUUUACUUAGGAAACAGUUUUGGUUUUCGAGGGGUAAUGCAACAGUUUGAUGAAGGAUCAGUGCGUGACAGGGAAGCUCUGUUUAUUUGUUUCUUUCCAGCCUUUCCAAUAAAAAGGAAAUCAGAAGGGGGAGGGUAUUUUGGGAAUUAGAGAAGAGAAAAGUCACUUUGAAAGAAAUUAGACUCCCAUCAAAGAAGAUGCAGGGCAUUGAGUACAUGCAAGAUACCCUGAUAGAGGCUGAGAGAACAGCCAAAUACAUUCAGGAAGUCCAUAGUUUGCUUAUGAGAGAAGCUAUGUAGAGCACAAUUGCUAGACAUAGUACAGUUUCUUCCUCUCUCAC